rnacentral:lncRNA from 1 species
GGGUACUCACAGCCAGGGGCGGAAGAGGGGAUAGCUCUCAGUCCCCACUCUCGUGGGGGGUGCCUCCCCCUCCUGCGAUGGGGGUCCCCAGAGCCAGGGGGGGAAGAGGGACUGGCUCUCAGUAAUCCCACGUAAGGUACCUGCCGUCGGAAGAUUUGAACUUUCUACUUGGACAACUAACACCCACAGUCCUCCAGCUCCGGUAGAUUGCAAAUAACCUGCUUUCUUUCUGUUCCCGAGCUGCGUUCGGACCCAUGUCUUAUUGUAAAUCCCACGCAAGCUGCGUUCGGACCCGUCUGAUCGUAAAUCCCAUGUAAGGUACCUGCCGUCGGAAGAUUUGAACGUUCUACUUGGACACCUAAAACCCACAGUCCUCCAGAUUUGAACUUUCUACUUGGACAACUAACACCCACAGUCCUCCAGCUGCGUUCGGACCCAUGUCUUAUUGUAAAUCCCACGCAAGGUACCUGCCGUCGGAAGAUUUGAGCUUUCUUCUUGAACACCUCAUACCCACAGUCCUCCAGGCGCCAGUGGGAUCAAGAGAGGGCAACAUUGCAACUCUCCAUGCUCCUGCAAUAUCCAUGGCUAUUCUGUAGACAGAAAGACAACAGGUACAAAGCCCUAAGGAUUAUAAAGGUAUGCUGCUUACCAUCAUCUUAGUGACCAAGGCAGCGAAGCUGUUUCUGUACCUUGGAACAGUCUUCCCUGACAAGCCAGAGAACAGUGAUAAAGCCACCAGCCUUGGGAUCAGGACUGAAAAGGCAAGAGUGAUGGAGAUUUCUCCUGCGCUAAGCCAAGAGAAGGUUUCAGCACUUCAGACAGCUCCCACCGAAGUAGCCGCGCUCCCAGCUGCUUGCAGAUGUUGAAAAGGAAAGCCUCGGUUUGUCUUGAGGUUGUCAGCAGGUGCAAGACACGUAAUAAAAUGCAAUGUGUUCCUAA